rnacentral:rRNA from 1 species
AACGAACGCCGGCGGCAGGCUUAACACAUGCAAGUCGAACGCUCCGCAAGGAGAGUGGCAGACGGGUGAGUAACACGUGGGAACGGACCCUUUACUACGGAACAACUCCGGGAAACUGGAGCUAAUACCGUAUGUGCCCUUUGGGGGAAAGAUUUAUCGGUAAAGGAUCGGCCCGCGUUGGAUUAGCUAGUUGGUGGGGGAAAGGCCUACCAAGGCGACGAUCCAUAGCUGGUCUGAGAGGAUGAUCAGCCACAUUGGGACUGGGAAACGGCCCAAACUCCUACGGGAGGCAGCAGUGGCGGAUAUUGGACAAUGGGCGCAAGCUUGAUCCAGCCAUGCCGCGUGAGUGACGAAGGCCUUAGAGUUGUAAAGCUCUUUUGGCGGGGAAGAUAAUGACGGUACCCGCAGAAUAAGCUCCGGCUAACUUCGUGCCAGCCGCCGCAGUAAAAC